UACGUAGGGUGCAAGCGUUGUCCGGAAUUAUUGGGCGUAAAGAGCUCGUAGGUGGUUUGUCGCGUUGUUCGUGAAAACUCACAGCUCAACUGUGGGCGUGCGGGCGAUACGGGGCAGACUGGAGUACUGCAGGGGAGACUGGAAUUCCUGGUGUAGCGGUGGGAUGCGCAGAUAUCAGGAGGAACACCGGUGGCGAAGGCGGGUCUCUGGGCAGUAACUGACGCUGAGGAGCGAAAGCGUGGGGAGCGAACAGG
rnacentral:rRNA from 1 species